ensembl:lncRNA
GUCUUGAUGAACCAUGCAUUUAUUCUCAUGUUGCCAUGUAAGUGGUGGAUGGGAGCUGGUAAUGGCAGGCACUUUGAUUGCGAUCUAAUCUACAGGCAUAAAGGAGACUGCGCUCUGUUUACGCCUGUGAUCGGAAUUAUACAAUCAAUUACUGCCCCCCGCCGUGGCCUAAAAGAUAGGAGGAACUGGUUAAAUGUUAUUGUUGAGGAGACUAUUAUCCAGCAGUCGGGUUGGUUAAUUCAAGAAAAUGACAUUCAUUAAAAGACGAGGCCGAGAUCAGGAGGAGGCAGCGAUGGGGGUGACCCCCCAUUUAUGACACAUCUUUGUAAGUUUUGGAGACAUGAGCCAAGCUGGUAUAUUUCAUGUCAUGCCCAUGCAACCAACAGGCUAGCAAAUUUUCUUGCGUAGGUUUGUGCGUGCAGAUGUGUUGCAUUAAGCUCCUGGUUGAGAAAGAGUUGAAUUUCUCCCUCACCACUCACAUGUUGUGUCUGCAGCAGCAUGGGGCAGAACCGC